rnacentral:rRNA from 1 species
AGAAUCAACGCUGGCGGCGUGCCUAACACAUGCAAGUCGAACGAGAAGGAGGAGCAAUCCCCGAGUAUAGUGGCGCACGGGUGAGUAACACGUGAAUAAUCUACCUCCGAGUGGGGAAUAACUGAGAGAAAUCUUAGCUAAUACCGCAUAACACUUACGAGUCAAAGCAGCAAUGCGCUUGGAGAGGAGUUCGCGGCCGAUUAGUUAGUUGGCGGGGUAAUGGCCCACCAAGACGAUGAUCGGUA